UGCCAGACUCCUACGGGAGGCAGCAGUGGGGAAUAUUGCACAAUGGGGGAAACCCUGAUGCAGCGACGCCGCGUGAGCGAUGAAGUAUUUCGGUAUGUAAAGCUCUAUCAGCAGGGAAGAAAAUGACGGUACCUGACUAAGAAGCCCCGGCUAACUACGUGCCAGCAGCCGCGGUAAUACGUAGGGGGCAAGCGUUAUCCGGAUUUACUGGGUGUAAAGGGAGCGUAGACGGCUGUGCAAGCCAGAUGUGAAAGCCCGGGGCUCAACCCCGGGACUGCAUUUGGAACUGUGUGGCUGGAGUGUCGGAGAGGCAGGCGGAAUUCCUAGUGUAGCGGUGAAAUGCGUAGAUAUUAGGAGGAACACCAGUGGCGAAGGCGGCCUGCUGGACGAUGACUGACGUUGAGGCUCGAAAGCGUGGGGAGCAAACAGGAUUAGAUACCCCUGUA
rnacentral:rRNA from 1 species